rnacentral:rRNA from 1 species
AGCAGCCGCGGUAAUUCCAGCUCCAAUAGCGUAUAUUAAAGUUGUUGCAGUUAAAAAGCUCAUAGUUGAAUUUUAGGCCUGGCCGGACGGUCCGUCUCUGGCGAGUACUGUUCUGUCGUCGGGUCUAUCCUUCUGGUAAGCCGUUAUGUUCUUAAUUGGGCGUAGCGGGGAGCCAGGACCAUUACCUUGAAAAAAUUAGAGUGUUUAAAGCAGGCUUUUGCUUGAAUAGAUUAGCAUGGAAUAAUAGAAUAGGACGUUGUGGUUCUAUUUUGUUGGUUCAAGGACCACCGUAAUGAUUAAUAGGGAUAGUUGGGGGCAUUAGUAUUCAAUUGUCAGAGGUGAAAUUCUUGGAUUUAUUGAAGACUAACUACUGCGAAAGCAAUUUGCCAAGGAUGUUUUCAUUAAUCAAGAACGAAAGUUAGGGGAUCGAAGACGAAUCAGAUACCGUCGUAGUCUUAACCAUAAACUAUGCCGACUAGGAAUCGGGCGACGUUAUUUUCACGACUCGCUCGGCGCCUUA